rnacentral:rRNA from 1 species
UCGAACGCGAAAGGGGGGCAACCCCCGAGUAGAGUGGCGAACGGGUGAGUAAUACAUCGGAACGUACCCAGUAGCGGGGGAUAACCUCUCGAAAGAGAGGCUAAUACCGCAUACGACCUACGGGUGAAAGAGGGGGAUCGCAAGACCUCUCACUAUUGGAGCGGCCGAUGUCGGAUUAGCUAGUUGGUGGGGUAACGGCCUACCAAGGCGACGAUCCGUAGCUGGUCUGAGAGGACGGCCAGCCACACUGGAACUGAGACACGGUCCAGACUCCUACGGGAGGCAGCAGUGGGGAAUUUUGGACAAUGGGCGCAAGCCUGAUCCAGCCAUGCCGCGUGAGUGAAGAAGGCCUUCGGGUUGUAAAGCUCUUUCGGCUGGGACGAAAAGGUCCGUGCUAACACCACGGAUCCAUGACGGUACCAGCAGAAGAAGCACCGGCUAACUACGUGCCAGCAGCCGCGGUAAUACGUAGGGUGCAGGCGUUA